UGACUAAUGUCCAUUAUCUCUUUCAGAAAGCCCUAACCCUGCUACCAUUGGAAUGUGCGCUUGAUGAAAAGACGUGUAACUAUCUCAUCAUGAUGCUAAAAGAUAUUCUGCAGAAGAACAUCGAUAUUGAUGUGGAGAAGCUGAUAUGCCUGGUGAAGAAACUGCUCUUUAAAAAGCCAGGACUAUUGUUCAAAUGAGCAUGUAGUUGGCAACAAGAAAAUUAUAAAGAAACGCACCAUGCAUGAUGCAAAGAAAAUCUUUGAUUUCAAAUCACCUUACCUAAUUACCUUUCGCUUUCAUUAAAAAAGAAAAAUAUA